rnacentral:rRNA from 1 species
CAUAUCAAUAAGCGGAGGAAAAGAAACCAACAGGGAUUGCCCCAGUAACGGCGAGUGAAGCGGCAACAGCUCAAAUUUGAAAUCUGGCCCCCAGGGCCCGAGUUGUAAUUUGCAGAGGAUGCUUUUGGCGCGGCGCCUUCCGAGUUCCCUGGAACGGGACGCCAUAGAGGGUGAGAGCCCCGUCUGGUCGGACGCCAAGCCAGUGUAAAGCUCCUUCGACGAGUCGAGUAGUUUGGGAAUGCUGCUCUAAAUGGGAGGUAUAUGUCUUCUAAAGCUAAAUAUAGGCCAGAGACCGAUAGCGCACAAGUAGAGUGAUCGAAAGAUGAAAAGCACUUUGAAAAGAGGGUUAAACAGUACGUGAAAUUGUUGAAAGGGAAGCACUUGUGACCAGACUUGGGCCCGGUGAAUCAUCCAGCGUUCUCGCUGGUGCACUUCGCCGGGCCCAGGCCAGCAUCAGUUCGCCGCGGGGGAUAAAAGCUUCGGGAACGUAGCUCCCUCGGGAGUGUUAUAGCCCGUUGCAUAAUACCCUGCGGUGGACUGAGGUUCGCGCUCCGCAAGGAUGCUGGCGUAAUGGUCACCAGUGACCCGUCUUGAAACACGGACCAAGGAGUCGUCUUCGUAUGCGAGUGUUCGGGUGUCAAACCCCUACGCGUAAUGAAAGUGAACGCAGGUGAGAGCUUCGGCGCAUCAUCGACCGAUCCUGAUGUUCUCGGAUGGAUUUGAGUAAGAGCAUACGGGGCCGGACCCGAAAGAAGGUGAACUAUGCCUGUAUAGGGUGAAGCCAGAGGAAACUCUGGUGGAGGCUCGCAGCGGUUCUGACGUGCAAAUCGAUCGUCAAAUAUGGGCAUGGGGGCGAAAGACUAAUCGAACCUUCUAGUAGCUGGUUUCCGCCGAAGUUUCCCUCAGGAUAGCAGUGUUGAACUCAGUUUUAUGAGGUAAAGCGAAUGAUUAGGGACCCGGGGGCGCUCUUUAGCCUUCAUCCAUUCUCAAACUUUAAAUAUGUAAGAAGCCCUUGUUGCUUAAUUGAACGUGGGCAUUCGAAUGUAUCAACACUAGUGGGCCAUUUUUGGUAAGCAGAACUGGCGAUGCGGGAUGAACCGAACGCGAGGUUAAGGUGCCAGAGUAGACGCUCAUCAGACACCACAAAAGGCGUUAGUACAUCUUGACAGCAGGACGGUGGCCAUGGAAGUCGGAAUCCGCUAAGGACUGUGUAACAACUCACCUGCCGAAUGUACUAGCCCUGAAAAUGGAUGGCGCUCAAGCGUCUCACCCAUACCUCGCCCUCAGGGUAGAAACGAAGCCCUGAGGAGUAGGCGGACGUGGAGGUCGUGACGAAGCCUAGGGCGUGAGCCCGGGUCGAACGGCCUCUAGUGCAGAUCUUGGUGGUAGUAGCAAAUACUUCAAUGAGAACUUGAAGGA